GACGAACGCUGGCGGCGUGCUUAACACAUGCAAGUCGAACGGUAAGGCCCUUCGGGGUACACGAGUGGCGAACGGGUGAGUAACACGUGGGUGAUCUGCCCUGCACUUCGGGAUAAGCCUGGGAAACUGGGUCUAAUACCGGAUAGGACCACUGCCUGCAUGGGUGGUGGUGGAAAGCUUUUGCGGUGUGGGAUGGGCCCGCGGCCUAUCAGCUUGUUGGUGGGGUGAUGGCCUACCAAGGCGACGACGGGUAGCCGGCCUGAGAGGGUGACCGGCCACACUGGGACUGAGAUACGGCCCAGAGUCCUACGGGAGGAAGGAGUGGGGAAUAUUGCACAAUGGGCGCAAGCCUGAUGCAGCGACGCCGCGUGAGGGAUGACGGCCUUCGGGUUGUAAACCUCUUUUAGCACCGACGAAGCGCAAGUGACGGUAGGUGCAGAAGAAGGACCGGCCAACUACGUGCCAGCCGCCGCGGUAACAC
rnacentral:rRNA from 1 species